rnacentral:lncRNA from 1 species
GCGGGGAAAACCGGAACAGGAACUAGAUCUGAAAAAAAAAGUUAACGAUUUUGAGUUCAUUAGUAGAAUGAAAAAUUCGGGAAAUUUUCCAGAUUUUUUUUUUUUUUUUUUUUUUAUUGAUUUUUCUACCGUAAUUGGGGACUUCGUCCCCAUAUAAUUCUGACAAGCUUUUUGGAUUAUCUAAAGUAAAGUAAGAGCUGUAGGGUGAUUACUUACAAGACAAAUGCUUACCCUUCACUGAAAACUGGGGAUGUUAAGGUGGGGUUUACAAUUAUAUGAAUUUCAAUAGUUUUGUGAUGCAAAUUGAAGUACUUGGUUGAUAUAUGGCAAUGACCUGAAUGUUGGAAAAAUUGCAAACAUUAAUAUUUUAACAUGACCAAAGCACUAACCAUGUAUCUGUUGU